UGUUACUGAACGUAGCGUGAAUACAAAAACAUUUUACUUUUGUUUUAUGAACACAUCUCUUGUUAACGCCGCUGUAAAUUAUUGUUGAUAGUCUGUAUAAUAUUGUGUUUUGAUAUUGCAUUGUGAUUUUGAAGUGUUUAAAGUUCAAAAAUUGGUGCGCAUAAAGAAUUAAAUAAUAUUUAUUAAUAAAAAUUUAAAAGUACUGAAAAACAAAACACAAUGCGCUUCCAUCUUUCAAUGGACUAUUGACCAUACAUAUCACGCCGGAGUUCAGAACAUUCACUCACGAAAUUUUAUUCUUUUGAUAAUGUAAAUUAAUUCAUUUAUAAAUAGAAUUAUGGCAUAAAAAGUACCUCAAAACAUCUGUACCCAGUAAAAUCAAUGCAUACCAAAUGAAUGUAAACUCGAAAGGAAUCUCAUUUUUAAAAACGUAAUUAGCGUGAGUGGAGCAGACCGGUGUAGCUGACAAUACAUUUCAACAGAUUGACAUAAAACUAAACUGGUCUAUUUAAGAAGCAUAAACCACCUGUAUUUUUAUUGAAACAGCAUUAGUAAGCAGUAAACAUCGAAAAUGAAUAGGUACUUUUUGAGUCCUGUUAUAUGAAAAAACUGUCAAAACACCGAGCUGGAGGAAAAUAAUGCAGUGGUGACCUACGCGAUAACUGCUUGUGUAAAAACUUUUUGUUACAAAAACUCAGUCAGUUACCACGCAAUAUAAUACUUCAAUGAGAAUCUGUCAAAACUGAUGACAUUGUGCCACAAACAAAAGCAAAUAUUUGUACACUAAUCUCCCAGCUAUGGUAGAUAAAUUAAAUGAUAAAGUGUUGGUUGAAGAAGUAAAUUUCAAAUAACAAUGCUAUAUUAGAAUUAGUAUCUAAUCAUCAAACUGUUUCUAUACCAUCACAUGAAAAUCAUUAAAAUUGUUGGUGUUACAUGGAAAGCUACAAAAGAUUUUUGAUCCUAACAAAGUGUACACUACGAGAAGUUACUGAAUUUUGCGUAAUGAUUACGAUCGCUUCAAAGCAAAAUACAAUAUAAAAUUUCCAUCUAGCCCAAGUGCAAAGCAACAAUUUUGUAAUAAGAAAAUAAGCUAUAGCUAAGCUCAGAUAGAACUAAGAUUUCUUUUGCAAGUGAUAGUGACUGCAUACAACGAGAACAAGUAUAUAACAGAGUAUACUCUGUGCCAGCUAUAACAAUUUAUCCGUUUUGUGUAUUACAAACCUUAUCGAUAUCUAAUUUUACCAUUAUAUGCUUUUAUAGUAAUAAUAGAUAUGUUUUAUAAAGUAUAAAGUAACAUAGUCAUAUCCCUGACUAAUUAUCUUAAAUAUAUAAUGUACUGCAUACACUUCCACACCUCUAAUUUAAUGUAAACAUAAAAUCACUUCGAAUCAACGCUUCUAUUUUAUAUAUUAACAUAAUCUCAAUUUAAAGCAACAUUGUCUUUUAUAGUAAUGUUUACAUGCAAAACUGGAAGUGAUGUUUAAUCUUAGACAUAAGUUAUUAUUUUCAUCAUAUACAUUCCAUAAAGACGAAUCAAACG